rnacentral:rRNA from 1 species
AUUGAACGCUGGCGGAAUGCUUUACACAUGCAAGUCGAACGGUAGAGGGGGCAACCCCUUGAGAGUGGCGAACGGGUGAGUAAUAUAUCGGAACGUGCCCAGUCGUGGGGAUAACGUAGCGAAAGUUACGCUAAUACCGCAUACGAUCUAAGGAUGAAAGCGGGGGGACUCGCAAGAGCCUCGCGCGAUUGGAGCGGCCGAUAUCAGAUUAGGUAGUUGGUGGGGUAAAGGCUCACCAAGCCAACGAUCUGUAGCUGGUCUGAGAGGACGACCAGCCACACUGGAACUGAGACACGGUCCAGACUCCUACGGGAGGCAGCAGUGGGGAAUUUUUGGACGAAUGGACGCAAGUCUGAUCCAGCCAUUCCGCGCGCAGGAUGAAGGCCUUC